rnacentral:rRNA from 1 species
AGGACGAACGCUGGCGGCGUGCUUAACACAUGCAAGUCGAGCGGUAAGGCCUUUCGGGGUACACGAGCGGCGAACGGGUGAGUAACACGUGGGUGAUCUGCCCUGCACUCUGGGAUAAGCCUGGGAAACUGGGUCUAAUACCGGAUAUGACCUGCUCUCGCAUGGGGGGUGGGUGGAAAGAUUUAUCGGUGCAGGAUGGGCCCGCGGCCUAUCAGCUUGUUGGUGGGGUAAUGGCCUACCAAGGCGACGACGGGUAGCCGACCUGAGAGGGUGACCGGCCACACUGGGACUGAGACACGGCCCAGACUCCUACGGGAGGCAGCAGUGGGGAAUAUGCACAAUGGGCGAAAGCCUGAUGCAGCGACGCCGCGUGAGGAUGAAGGCCUUCGGGUGUAAACCUCUUUCAGCAGGACGAAGCGCAAGUGACGGUACCUGCAGAAGAAGCACCGGCUAAACUACGUGCCAGCAGCCGAC